rnacentral:rRNA from 1 species
CGGGAUAACACCUGGAAACAGAUGCUAAUACCGGAUAACAACAGAUGAUGCCUAUCAACUGUUUAAAAGAUGGUUCUGCUAUCACUCUUGGAUGGACCUGCGGUGCAUUAGCUAGUUGGUAGGGUAACGGCCUACCAAGGCGAUGAUGCAUAGCCGAGUUGAGAGACUGAUCGGCCACAUUGGGACUGAGACACGGCCCAAACUCCUACGGGAGGCAGCAGC